rnacentral:tRNA from 1 species
GGCGGAUGUAGCCAAGUGGAUAAAGGCAGUGGAUUUGUGAAUC